GGGGACGUAUUUGGGUUCGACAGGGUGUUUUAGCGCUCUAAUGUUAUGCCGAGUUCUUGCUGGCUCGUUAAAUCGGCAAGGAAAAAUAAACGCAGAAAAUAACGAAUACGCAUUAGCUGCUUAGAAUAGCGGCUGAGGUUACUAAAGAGACUUCCAUUGCGGUCUCUUUAAGUAAUCUAAUAUCGAGCAAUGGCUCAUCAAAGUGUUUCUUCCGGUUUCCAUUUUGAUGAGUAAAUAAAACCGAAAGGCUUGCUUAAAGCUUUGCUACUUUUUGCUUAAGCAAGCUAUAAAAAGUAGCUAUGCAUAUAAAAAGCAUUAGAGCUCGACGCACACCUGGACGCGGGUUCAAAUCCCGCCGUCUCCACCA
rnacentral:tmRNA from 1 species